CUGCUGGUCACUACAGAGAAGUAGAGUCAUUUCCUCAUAGACGUCUAUGGGAGCAGAGGAGUCGCCCCCUGCUGGUCACUACAGAGAAGUAGAGUAAUUUCCUCAUAGACGUCUAUGGGAGCAGAGGAGUCGCCCCCUGCUGGUCACUACAGAGAAGUAGAGUCAUUUCCUCAUAGACGUCUAUGGCAGCAGAGGAGUCGCCCCCUGCUGGUCACUGCACAGAAUGCAGCUUUAGCUCUGGUUGCGAAUUCUGGAUGAAUACGGACCUACUGAGGACCAAAUGAGAGCAGGCUUAGGCCCACAUAGAAUACUUAUUGAAUGAAAGGUGUUAUAUUUGGUUUCAACUCUUUCUGGGUCCCAUUUAAUGUCUUGUUUUUGCUUAUUUCCUCCCGUGUUCCCUCUUCCGUCUGUCAAUGCUUUUAUAACUUAGCCUCUUACAACAGAUCCAUGAAUUUCAAACUUAUUAUCAUCGUCGAUUCAAAUCGAUGAUGUAGCUGGUUUAAUGACAUCCAACGAUGCUGUGAUCCCACACACGCUCUGAAAGUUCAAAUAUCAUUUUUACAUUUAGAAAUAAGAGAAAAGUACUAAACCAACAAUGGAAUUCAAGGUCCUCUUAGUCUUAAUAGGUUGCUAAAGACCUUCAUGCCCCCCCCCUUCUGAGGAGACAUAUUAACAGCCUUCUGUGACUAAUGGACGUAGUGGGAUCUCAUUUAAAGCAGAGAGGGUAUCAAAUCCACGAGUGCACAAAGACAUUAAAGGACGUCCGCUGGGAGGUCGCAGGGGUUUGAUCCACCCCCCCCCCCCCUCCCGGGACGUCUAGCCGGCUCAUUAUGUAGGAUAUAAAAAGAGGAAAAUACAGUAUCCUGUGCCUCUAAUGCCGCUGUAAUUCAUGGAAUGAUACCUGGAGUUUCUGGAUCGUCAUCACGUAUCAUCGCAGGUUGUUCAGAGAAAAUCUCUUUCACAUAACGGUGCCGUUUUGAGCUUCUGUUUGGGGGGGCAUUCAUUCAUUGUUAAUGGGACUUUAAUUAGUCUAAAUGAUAAUAGAAGCGUUAGCUAGAGGGCUAGAUUCACAAAAGAAGAAGCACUAUUCUGUAUUAGUAGAAAUUGGAUACGUUUUUUUUGAAACAAAGGUAAAUAUAUGUAGAAUCUAAUGAUUCAAUAUUUACUGUUUUAGAAACUCCACCCAUGGUCACAUGACCUCCCGUCUUGCAUGCUUAGUUGUUCCAUAACCUAAGUAGCUUUAACACAUUACAUUAACCAACAUGCAGGACCAUUUCCUGUCAUAUACCCCCCCCCCCCCCCCCCAUGAGGCUGGACAUCGGUGUCGUGGUGAUUUGCAUAUCGCACCGCAACCGUUUUUCUUUCCUUGCACGCGACUUCUCUUUUUUCUCUUUUGUUGUGUGUCCCGUACAGUUAGGACUUUAUGUUUUAAUUGCCCGGCCCCCCCCCCCCUGCGGGGGGAUAUUUUCACAGGAGGUGGGCACCUGCCUCGGCUUCCUCGCUGAUUGUUUCCAGGACGGGGGGCCUCCACGGUCCUGACAUUUUUUACACCGAGGUAACGUUUCCUUGCAUUAUGGUCGCAGAAUAGCUCCCCUUGUCUAUUGUGCUGCUUGUUAAAACUCCUCAUGGAUUCAUGAACAGUGAUCGGGGGGGACGGGGGGGGGGGGAUUCCGGGGAAUUCCAGCAGCAUUCCUAUCAGAUUUCCUUCUGCGCUCUUUCCUUCUUUCCCUUCCACCUCCGUGGUGUGAAGGCCGUUCCAGAGAAGCGACACAUGAUGUUCUGCAUCAAACUAAACGGAAGAGAAUCAGUCAGAAAGGAAUAUUUAAGAAGUGAUCGAAGUGGAUCAUUUUCUUGAAUUAGUCAAUUCAUUUUAUAAAAUAUCCCCCCCCUCAGCUUGGUGAGAGGACCUGCUGCAUCCAGUUCUCUCACAGUGACGCUGGAGAUCCGCUCGGCACCAGAGACAAAAGGACGAAGACAAAUAAACAGAAGCAGCGUUUGAAGCGGCGUCUCCUCCUCGCUGACGGGCAGCGGGGGGGUCUGAGCUGUUUGACCCCCGGUGCCGCUUGGUUGCACCCAAAAGCCUCAAAGCGUGAGUCCCGGUCACGGCUCUCUGAUCUGCAGGCCAUCCGUCGCCAGCAGGGUGGUGCUCAGCAGCAGCACCGCCCGCUGGAAUCAAGUGAUACCAGCGAAUUGUAUCAAAGGGUUCUACCCAGAACCUCUUCAUCAGGACGCUUCAUCAGGAAGCUUCAUCAAGACGCUUCAUCAGGUAGCUUCAUCAGGACGCUUCAUCAGGCAGCUUCAUCAGGCAGCUUCAUCAGUAAGCUUCAUCAGGCAGCUUCAUCAGGCAGCUUCAUCAGGAAGCUUCAUCGGGAAGCUUCAUCAGGAAGCUUCAUCAGGCAGCUUCAUCAGGAAGCUUCAUCAAGACGCUUCAUCAGGUAGCUUCAUCAGGACGCUUCAUCAGGCAGCUUCAUCAGGCAGCUUCAUCAGUAAGCUUCAUCAGGCAGCUUCAUCAGGCAGCUUCAUCAGUAAGCUUCAUCAGGCAGCUUCAUCAGGCAGCUUCAUCAGGCAGCUUCAUCAGGCAGCUUCAUCAGUAAGCUUCAUCAGGCAGCUUCGUCAGGCAGCUUCAUCGGGCAGCUUCAUCGGGCAGCGUCGUCAGGCAGCUUCAUCAGGCAGCUUCUCGUGACCAGCCUCUGCAGCGUCGCUCUGCAGUACCUCCCCCCCCCUCCACAUCUGCACAGUGUGCGUUUGUGUACUUUGUGCGCGGCCGACCUUUUUCUCUCCCACUGCUCCGUGGAGCCGGCGUUCUGUUGUCGAGAGCCUGCAGCCGCGCUGCUCAUUGUAUUUGUGUCCUGUGUGUCGCUUCCUGCGUCCAGAUUGUGGAUUGUUGGCCGAGACAAUGGUGUGUUUCGCCUUGGAAGGACACCUCCAUCAUUUACCACGGGGCGGUGAACGCAGACCCACACGCCGCCGCUGCUCGGGGACAAUAUGUAUUUAUCCCCCGAGCCGUUGCUUGAAUGCAAUGAAUCAUAAUUUCGAUACGUUUCUAUUCUAUAACUCCCAAAGCACAAUGCAGCAACGUGGUUUUCCCCCACCGAGAAACAAGGCGCCGGGUAUCUGAACCCUUCCUGUUGCGUCGAUAAGAGAAAGCGAAAAGCCCCAAAAAAGGAAGAUCUUCUGGGAGAUAACGCACCAUAAAACAAUCUGGAUUAAUGUCUCCUACUGUUCCAGAGGUUAUGAACCGGCCCCGUUUCCUGUGAAUUCACCUACUGUACUUAACCAGAGGUAUUCAUGUGGGGAAAGGCAAACAUUCCCACCUCCACAAAUAUGCAGUCAAGCACACACUUGUCGCUGGUGGGAUGGCGGUGAGAGCGAAGCCUCUCCCGCAUUGGCGGCUCGCCUCCCACCCGAGCACGCCAAGCGCGGAGAAAAUAAAGGCUGCAGAGCGGAGAGAGGAAGUCGUAACGUGUUCGGACCGAGAGGCAUUCUUCAGGUCAGGAGGCGUUUCUCUAUUGAGCUCCAACACGUCGCUGCCGUCACUCCAGAGAUGGAAAGUUCUAAUAUUGGUGUUUGUUUUUUAUUGUCAAGGCUGCGUUGGAGGUCAGUGUGUAGAUUCAGUUUUGCACAUUUAACUUGAAUGGAGCUCAUAAAAUAUUGUUUAUUUUCUUGGGUGUGUCCUUACAAAUGAUCUCUUCUAUCCAGCUUCUGCUUUUCAAGUUGUAAAUGAGCUUUUAUACAGCAAACAAUUGUGUCUGAUCACUUGUUCCAAAAGGCCACACGACUAAACGCUGCAACAACAUGCGGAGCCCGACAUGCACGCCAUGCACGCCAUGACCACCAUGACCACCAUGCACGCCAUGCACACUAUGCACGCCAUGACCACCAUGACCACCAUGACCACCAUGCACGCCAUGCACACUAUGCACGCCAUGACCACCAUGACCACCAUGCACGCCAUGCACACUAUGCACGCCAUGACCGGCAUGACCACUAUGCACGCCAUGACCACCAUGCCGCCAUGACCGGAGAGCAUGUAUAUGACCGCCAUGACCGCCAUGACUCUCUCUCUCGCCAUGCACGCCAUGCACGCCAUAACCGCCAUGACCACAAUAACCGCCAUGACCGCCAUGCACACUAUGCACGCCAUGACCGCCGUAACCGCCAUGACCACCAUGACCGCCAUGACCGCCAUGCUUGCCAUGCACGCCAUAACCAUCAUCACCACAAUAACCGCCAUGACCGCCAUGCACACUAUGCACGGCAUAACCACCAUGACCACAAUAACCGUGACCACCGCCAUACACACCAUGACCGCCAUGCACACUAUGCACGGCAUAACCACCAUGACCACAAUAACCGCCAUGACCGCCAUACACACCAUGACCGCCAUGCACACUAUGCACGCCAUAACCGCCAUGACCACAAUAACCGCCAUGACCGCCAUGCACACUAUGCACGCCAUAACCGCCAUGACCACCAUGCACGCCAUGCACACCAUGACGCCGUGAUCACUCAUAACCACGUUUCAUAGACUUACUGAAGAGCAAACUUCUGCUCACUGCUCUUCUGACCAAGGUGACGGUGACUGUUUGUUGGUACGAAGACCUGACACCUUCAUCUGGGGUCUUUGUGUUGUGCCGACCCAGUGACCCUCCGACCCCUCGCCACACCCUAAAGUCUUUGAAAAGAGGCGCGUCUCUUCCCUCCCUGUUCCUGUGCUGCUCUUUGUCUCCGGACUCGUCUUCUCGUGACGGCGUCCUCGUCAACACACAAACCUUCCGUCCGCUCGCUUCCUGCUGAGAAUCCUUCAGGAUGUGCACCUUUUGAGAAUAAAGCUUUCACACAGUCGGCAGAAAGGCCCUUGAGCUCACGCAGGUAUUCAUUUGCGGCGAUUACCUGCAGCUUCACAGGACCUGCAGCAGUCUCAGCGGGGGGGUGGAGGGGGGGACUAUUUGUCUCCUCUUUUGUCCCUUCCUUUUAUGGCUGAGGGCUCCCCUCCCUCAGAGCUUAAUGAGAUGUUUACAUGGAGCCGGCUGUGGGAACCGGGGCCCAUAUGCCGCUGUGUGAGAUGACAGGGACCUGCUUUGUUUCUAUGGCCUUGUGAAGAGGUCUUAGUGCUGAAAUCAGAGCCCCCGGCCUCCUUCCACCUGCAGCCUGGGGCGGGACGUCCGCCACCACAUCUGCUGUCACUCAAAGAGAGGCGCUUAUUCUUUUCCUCCCUCGAGCAUCCAGGCAACUGCUGUCGUAAGAGUAAAAGGGAAGAAGGUCGAUCUGUUUCUCUUCCUCUAGUAGUCCGAGCCGCAGACAGGUAAACAGGCAGACAGGUAAACAGGCGGACAGGUAAACAGGCAGACAGGUAAACAGACAAACAGGUAAACAGACAAACAGGUAAACAGGCAGACAGGUAAACAGGCGGACAGGUAAACAAGUAAACAGGUACACAGGCAGACAGGUAAACAGACAAACAGGUAAACAGGCAGACAGGUAAACAGGCGGACAGGUAAACAGGCGGACAGGUAAACAGGUACACAGGUAAAAAGGCAGACAGGUAAACAGGCGGACAGGUAAACAGGCAGACAGGUAAACGGACAGACAGGUAAACAGGCAGACAGGUAAACAGACAGGUAAACAAGUAAACAGGUACACAGGCAGAGAGGCAGAAAGGUAAACAGGCAGACAGGUAAACAGGCAGACAGGUAAACAGACAGACAGGUAAACAGGCAGACAGGCAGAGAGAAGCAGGUCUAAAUGUGCCCCCACUGCUGAUAAAGGCCGUAAACCUGCUGUUAUCAGACAGGCACCUUAGAGCUUCUGCACCUGCUGCUGCAGCUCACACAGUGACCUCCACUAAGAGGAGCCCGACACACACCUGUCCCACCUGUCCACCCUGUCCACCCUGGAUGUCUCGUCGUCUGAGGUUAAACAUUUGCCUUUUUCCACAACCCUGUAUCGUGAUGUUGUAAACCGGGAAACCCCCCUCAGACCCCCUCAGCAUGUCGAUGAUUUACUUCCUUAAAUGUCUCUUUCAAACUUCUCAAAUCUCAAACCGGUUUGAUCAAAGUUCUGCGUAUGGAAACAAAGUGAAGAUGCGAGUGUGAAAUGGUGGAUUGACCACAUCUCUAAUCUGAUAAUAACUAAAUAUCCCAUUUGAAUAAAUGAAGACUAACGGAAGAGAACUUAAAAGGGAUUAAAAGUAGAACCGGGUUCAUUUGCUGCAUCAGUGGAAUCGGGAGGAUUGUUAGAAAAACCCUCAAAUGAUUUGACUUUUCACGCGUUUUACAAACAGGUGAAGUGUCUUCACACGUCUCCCUCCUCCAUCUUUGACCCGACUCAAUCAAACCAAAAGACCUCUUCUCCUCUGGUCCUCACAGCUUCCGUCCACGUGUCUCCAGAGCACAGACCUCGUCCCUCGGAUGAAUCCACUCGCACCUGCAGUCUGAACGUCGGCAGAAUAAAAAUAAUUGUAUUGCAAUGUGAGGAAUUUCCACAUGUUGCCUUAGAAAUGGGAACACGUGUGUGUGAUUGAGACACACACACACACACACACACACACACACACACACACGUAGGAGGAAUGCCUGAUCCGACGCUUCACUCUUGCGCCGAUGAUAAGUGUACUCGGUAUGUGCGGAGGCGGAGCCGGGCUCCCCGUCUGUCAGCGCGCUGUCAGCUGAUCAAACGGCGUUUCCUCUGAAGGUGUGAGGACAGAGGACAGAGGACAGAGGAGGUCAGCUAAAUCCUCUUUCCCCUUUGUCUCCCCGCAGGAGCUCAGCUGGCUGCGCGCUCCACCGGGCCGAGACGCCUGAAGGGGAGCGAGGAGCCGCCUCACCUGGAGCCCCUCUCAGGUCACCUUCACUCCGCCCGCUGACCCGUUACUGUGACACCACAGACCAUUGAUUAUGGUGCUUUGGUCCCCGCGAAGGAACGCUGAGUUCUCGUCUUCCCUCGUGACGCUUUCGGACCCAACGAGGUCACAAACGCGUCGCAUUGUCGCACAAAAUCACCUGACACAACCUGACCCCCCCCCCCCAAGGUGACCCCAUCGCAGCUUUUAGGAAUUCAAAGGGGUGAAUCAGAUGCCACACCGUCACCGUCCGCCUGCCCUCGAGCAAGGGAGAAUGUGUCAGGGCUCCGCCCCCCCCUGGUCUGCAGAGCAAAGACGCCGUGAGAAAACGAGGGUCCGAUGGCCAAAAAGCACAAACCGGGCAAGCCGCGACAGGACGUUCUAAAGUUGACUUUU
ensembl:lncRNA